rnacentral:lncRNA from 1 species
AACGUUAACAAGUAUCCGAAAUAUAAAGAUCAUAUCCGAAAUUACAAAAACAAAAACAUGAACCACAAAGCAUCAAAAUGAUCAAAUGAUUCAAAUCAAUAACAUCAGUUGCAGAAGGUGAGAAGGAAACGUAAAACAUGAUCCAGAAGCAUCAAAUACAUAACACAUAUUCGACGAUCAAAGAGAAAUGCAUAAAUAAAACACUUCAAACUUCAAAGAGAAAGAGAAAGAAAAGGAGUAACAAAAGAGACGUAAGAUUUCCAGAAUUGUGAGGAGGAGUGACUUGUGACUUGUGUGGCUUGUGAGACGUGAAACUGCAACACAAAAAGAGACUCCACAUAUUUGAAACUGCAACAUGAAGACGAAAUAUACUCAAUUUCAUAUUAAAGCAAAUGAAAACUCUAAUCCCCAAAUCGAUUUCAUUGUUAAAAAAACCCUAAAACCAAUUUCAAAGUUAAGAGAUUCUACAUACUUGAUAUAUUGACAGAAAUUAGUAGUAGAAAGAAAAAAAACAAAAAGGAAAUGAAAUCAGUUUCAUAUUUAAACAAAUGAAAACCCUAACCCCCAAAUCAAUUUUUCACAAUUACAGAGCCAGAUAUAAAAUGGGAAGAGAAGGAGAAGAAGCUUAGUUCUGAUUGAUUUCUCGACGCUGCAGAUGGAGUCGGCGACACGCGAUGGCUUCUGAGAUUUUGAGUUGUUUUAACUUUUAUCGAAGAGAAGAGGAAGAAAUUAAGAGAGGAGAGUGUUUGAAAGAGGAGAAGAUGUUUUUUCAAAAAAAAAAAAAAAAAAAAAAAAAAGAGGAGAAGAGGAAGGAAAGCGUGUAUAAUUU